UACAGAGGGGGCAAGCGUUAUUCGGAAUUAUUGGGCGUAAAGGGCGCGUAGGCGGCCGCGCAAGUGGAAGGUGAAAUCCCUCGGCUCAACCGAGGAACUGCCUUUCAAACUGCAUGGCAUGAGUCCGGGAGAGGUGAGUGGAAUUCCCAGUGUAGCGGUGAAAUGCGUAGAUAUUGGGAGGAACACCAGUGGCGAAGGCGGCUCACUGGACCGGAACUGACGCUGAGGCGCGAAAGCGUGGGGAGCAAACGGG
rnacentral:rRNA from 1 species